CAGCAAGUACUUUUAACCACUGAGCCAUCUCUCCAGCCCCCCUAGUAUAUAUAAUAUUAAACAGCAAUCACUUGGUCAUUGUAUCCAGAGGUGGGUGGGAACAGAUGUCUGACCCACAGUAGGGUGGGUCACUUCCCUAGCUUCCAGAUGGCAAGUGUCUACUGACCUGACCCUCAGUGGCCAUUCUGUCACACUACCACUAAUCCAAGCUCUAAGUAGGGCACAGGUAAGUCCCCUUUAUAGACAGGAAUAGCCAUCUGUCUCUGGGUAACAGUGUUAAGACUGGAUGCCUGCUGUUGCUCUGCUCAGAGAUAGCCAGGAAGGAACGUAGGCAUGCUUGGGGCCUGUGUGGAGGGAAAGCCCCUGCUACUGGGGUGCCAUGGUAUUUGGCAAACUGCCUCCCCUCCUCUGCCAAGUCAGCUCUGGAAGUACAGCCUGAGGAUGAGCUGAGUUGGUGGUCAGCACGGUAAGUUGACCGAGGCUCCAUUGUUGGCUCCAGGAAGUGGGUAGCUGCUUUCCAGCAGGUCGGCAGAGCCAGCCAGCCAGCCUGUCUUGGAAUUGGCGGAUGGGAGUUGAGAACACUCUUUUCCUGGAGCCUCUGGGCUCUGGGCCAGGCCCUCAGGCUUCCUUUGUAGGGGGUAGGGGCAAGUGAUGGAGCCAUUCUUGCCCAGCUUGGCAUAGGCCUUCCCCCUCUUCAGCCUGGCUCAUGCCCUUUUCUCUGCCCAUCCCUCUCAGCAGCAGAGUGCAUACUCUUGGCAAUGGUAUCCAUGAAGCUUGCUUUCCUGAAAGCAGGAAGGCCAUACAGGCUGACUCGGCCGGCACCUCAGUGGGGGGAUUGCACAGCAUUGGCUCCAGCCAUUUCCCAGUGGGGAUGGGAUGUGACCCUCAGCAGCCUUGUUGUACCUGGGCCACAAACCCCUCUGAGCUCAAGUACUGGGAUCAGAUCAAGGACGCCACCCUGGGAAGGCUCAAAUCCUCUCUGUGCUUGUUGCCUAUUUGAUAGCUACAGGAGUCCUGUAUAGAAUGUCUAGUUUUACAUACAGAUCCGACACUGUUUCUGCCUGCCUUUUCCCUUCCAGGAGGACCCUUGAGCAGCGAACACUCAUGCCUUCAGCAGGGAGCUGAUCCCUCGGAGGGUAGUUACACUGCCUGACACUGAGGUGACAUUUGGGUCUUCACAUGGUAGUUGCUGUCUUCUGCUGUUGAUCCUGCAAGGCUGACCUCUCCUGGCAGUUGCUUCUUUGGCCUCUGGCCCUGAACUCAGUUGGGUGGAUGGCUCUGGACCUUGCCUCUGAAGCCCAGGUCAUCCUUUGCUCUGUCUCACCAGGAUUCAAGUAUGACCAGCCUCACCCCCUGGCUUUAGAGGAGUUGCUCAACUGACAGAAUGUCAGCUUGGAAUUGCUGGUGGCCAAGUUGGAAUGCACGUGAGGAUGAAGCCAACAAAGAAGAAAGAAAACACCAAGUGUGUGUGUGUGUGUGUGUGUGUGUGUGUGUGUGUGUUUUUCCCAGAAACACACACCCUUGUAUCUAUCAACAUCAGGUUGGAAUAGUUCUUACCUGCCCUGGGCAGCUCCAUCCAUCCCUUUGAUGGCCGGUCCUCCAGCCUUGGCCCACCACUCACCUGUCUUUCUAGCGGUUCUUCUUGUCUUUUCUGGAUGGUCACGUGGUAUUGCAUGUCUAUUUUCUCUUAGUGUGUUUUCAAAUUCCCUCCUCCAUGUGCAGUGGGGGGGGGGGGGGCAGCCGCUUCUCUGCAGGACAGGCAGCAUUUGUUUAGCUAUCUUGAGGAUGGUGGCUUUUGCCAGAUUUUGAUGGUUCUGAAUAAAUCUGUUUUGAAUGUUCAA